rnacentral:misc_RNA from 1 species
UCCGGUUUGUCACCGGCAGUCUCAUUAGAGUGCCCAACUGAAUGUAGCAACUAAUGACAAGGGUUGCGCUCGUUGCGGGACUUAACCCAACAUCUCACGACACGAGCUGACGACAGCCAUGCAGCACCUGUGUUCCCGUUCCCUUUCGGGCACACCCGGCUUUCACCAGGUUCCAGGACAUGUCAAGGGUAGGUAAGGUUUUUCGCGUUGCAUCGAAUUAAUCCACAUCUAAUGAGCAUCGUUUAGGGCCAGGACUAC